UACGUAGGGUGCAAGCGUUGUCCGGAAUUAUUGGGCGUAAAGAGCUCGUAGGCGGUGUGUCGCGUCGGCCGUGAAAACCUGUGGCUUAACUAUGGGCUUGCGGUCGAUACGGGCAUCACUGGAGUUCGGCAGGGGAGACUGGAAUUCCUGGUGUAGCGGUGAAAUGCGCAGAUAUCCGGAGGAACACCGGUGGCGAAGGCGGCUUCCUGGACCGACACUGACGCUGAGGCGCGAAAGCUAGGGGAGCAAACGGG
rnacentral:rRNA from 1 species